rnacentral:rRNA from 1 species
AUGAUCGAUCCGACGGUAAGCGCCUCUGCCCACAGCCCAUCCCUAACCCUAACCCCAGCCCAAAUCCUGACUCUGCCCCCUCCCGCCCCAGUCCGCGACCCGCUGCUGGACAUGGUCUUCCAGGCGGCCUCCGACGACAACCUCCCCCGCUUCAAGGCGCUGGUCAUGAUGCUGGACAUGGGCAGGGGCCGCCCCAAGGAGGCGAUUGAGGAGUUGAGGGUGGAAGAUGAUGCGAAGCUUCAAGGUUUCAGUGCGCUGCACAUCGCGGCCAGUAGAUGUAGUCUUGAGGUGUGCAGGUACCUCGUCGAGGAGCUGCUGAUAGAUGUGGAUCUGGUCGACAAGGAAGGUCCAUCUAUCUUCAAAACCCUAAUAUACUAG